GAUGAACGCUGGCGGCGUGCCUAAUACAUGCAAGUCGAGCGAACGGACGAGAAGCUUGCUUCUCUGAUGUUCGCGGCGGACGGGUGAGUAACACGUGGAUAACCUACCUAUAAGACUGGGAUAACUUCGGGAAACCGGAGCUAAUACCGGAUAAUAUUUUGAACCGCAUGGUUCAAAAGUGAAAGACGGUCUUGCUGUCACUUAUAGAUGGAUCCGCGCUGCAUUAGCUAGUUGGUAAGGUAACGGCUUACCAAGGCAACGAUGCAUAGCCGACCUGAGAGGGUGAUCGGCCACACUGGAACUGAGACACGGUCCAGACUCCUACGGGAGGCAGCAGUAGGGAAUCUUCCGCAAUGGGCGAAAGCCUGACGGAGCAACGCCGCGUGAGUGAUGAAGGUCUUCGGAUCGUAAAACUCUGUUAUUAGGGAAGAACAUAUGUGUAAGUAACUGUGCACAUCUCGACGGUACCUAAUCAGAAAGCCACGGCUAACUACGUG
rnacentral:rRNA from 1 species